rnacentral:rRNA from 1 species
CACCGCCGUCACACAUGGGAGUCAGUUGUGCCGGAAGCCGGCGAUCCAACCCGCAAGGGGGGUAGCCGUCCAUGGUAUGGCUGAUGACUGGGGUG